rnacentral:rRNA from 1 species
AAGUUUAGUGGCGCACGGGUGCGUAACGCGUAUGCAACCUACCUUUAACUGGAGAAUAGCCCCUCGAAAGAGGGAUUAAUACUCCAUAGUAAUCAGAUAAAGCAUUUUAUUUGGUUUAAAGCUCCGGCGGUUAAAGAUGGGCAUGCGUGACAUUAGCUAGUUGGUGAGGUAAUGGCUCACCAAGGCUACGAUGUCUAGGGGUUCUGAGAGGAUGAUCCCCCACACUGGUACUGAGACACGGACCAGACUCCUACGGGAGGCAGCAGUAAGGAAUAUUGGGCAAUGGACGCAAGUCUGACCCAGCCAUGCCGCGUGAAGGACGAAGGCCCUAUGGGUUGUAAACUUCUUUUGUACGGGAAUAAACCCAGGUACGUGUACCUGGCUGAAUGUACCGUAAGAAUAAGGAUCGGCUAACUCCGUGCCAGCAGCCGCGGUAAUACGGAGGAUCCAAGCGUUAUCCGGAUUCAUUGGGUUUAAAGGGUGCGUAGGCGGAUUUGUAAGUCAGUGGUGAAAGCCAACAGCUUAACUGUUGAACUGCCAUUGAUACUGCAAGUCUUGAGUACAUUUGAUGUGGGCGGAAUGUGUUAUGUAGCGGUGAAAUGCUUAGAUAUGACACAGAACACCGAUUGCGAAGGCAGCUCACAAAACUGUAACUGACGCUGAGGCACGACAGCGUGGGGAUCAAACAGGAUUAGAUACCCUGGUAGUCACGCCGUAAACUAUGAUCACUCGAUGUUGGCGAUAUACUGUCAGCGUCUAAGCUAAAGCAUUAAGUGAUCCACCUGGGGAGUACGGUCGCAAGAUUGAAACUCAAAGGAAUUGACGGGGGCCCGCACAAGCGGAGGAGCAUGUGGUUUAAUUCGAUGAUACGCGAGGAACCUUACCAGGGCUUGAAAGUUAGCGACCGGUGCCGAAAGGUACUUUCCCUUCGGGGCGCGAAACUAGGUGCUGCAUGGCUGUCGUCAGCUCGUGCCGUGAGGUGUUGGGUUAAGUCCCGCAACGAGCGCAACCCCUAUUUUUAGUUGCCAGCGAGUAAUGUCGGGGACUCUAAAGAAACUGCCCGCGUAAGCGUGGAGGAAGGUGGGGAUGACGUCAAGUCAGCACGGCCCUUACGUCCUGGGCUACACACGUGCUACAAUGGAUGAGACAGUGGGCAGCUACAUGGUAACAUGAUGCUAAUCUCCAAACUCAUUCUCAGUUCGGAUUGAGGUCUGCAACUCGACCUCAUGAAGCUGGAUUCGCUAGUAAUCGGAUAUCAGCAAUGAUCCGGUGAAUACGUUCCCGGGCCUUGUACACACCGCCCGUCAAACAAUGGAAGCUGAGGGUACCUGAAGUCGAUAACCGCAAGGAGUCGCCUAGGGUAAAAUUAGUAACUGGUGUUAAGUCGUAACAAGGUAGCCGUACCGGAAGGUGCGGCUG